CAGCAGCCGCGGGAAUACGUAGGGUGCGAGCGUUAAUCGGAAUUACUGGGCGUAAAGCGUGCGCAGGCGGUUUUGUAAGACAGGCGUGAAAUCCCCGGGCUCAACCUGGGAAUGGCGCUUGUGACUGCAAAGCUAGAGUGCGGCAGAGGGGGAUGGAAUUCCGCGUGUAGCAGUGAAAUGCGUAGAUAUGCGGAGGAACACCGAUGGCGAAGGCAAUCCCCUGGGCCUGCACUGACGCUCAUGCACGAAAGCGUGGGGAGCAAACAGGAUUAGAUACCCCAGUAGUCCCUGUCUCUUAUAA
rnacentral:rRNA from 1 species